UACGAGGGGGGCAAAUGUUGUUCGGAAUCACUGGGCGUAAAGGGAGCGUAGGCGGGUUUCUAAGUCAGGUGUUUAAUCCCGGGGCCCAACCCCGGACAGGCACUUGAAACUGGGAAUCUUGAAUAGUGGAGAGGUCAGUGGAAUUGGGGGUGUAGCGGUGGAAUGCGUAGAGAUCCCCAAGAACACCAGUUGCGAAGGCGGCUGACUGGACACAUAUUGACGCUGAGGCUCGAAAGCAUGGGGAAGCAAACAGG
rnacentral:rRNA from 1 species